rnacentral:lncRNA from 13 species
CAUGGUCCUAGGGUCUUGCAUGUGUCACCAGGUGACUGGGCUGGGUGCUGUGAUGGCCUGAAGCCCUAGCGUCUCCAAAUGUGGGCAGUGUGUUCAGCACCUUCUCAGUUCCCUCGUUCCUGCCACUGUCAAAGGCAUUCAGACCUGGCCUGCCUACUGUCCAGCCCCAUUUCCAUUCCAUCCCGGUUUCCCACACCACGCCUGGCACAAGGGACCCCGGUGGUUCCUCCGAGUUACGCUCCACCACACGCUCUGUGUUGCCAGGCUGUGCUGCCCGGAGGAACUUCUGCGACGGGAGGCGCUGUCAGAACGGGGGCACCUGUGUCAACAGGUGGAACAUGUACCUGUGUGAGUGUCCGCUCCAAUUCGGCGGGAAGAACUGUGAGCAAGCCAUGCCCCACCCCCAGCUCUUCAGUGGUGAGAGCGUUGUGUCCUGGAGUGACCUGAAUGUCAUCAUCUCCGUGCCCUGGUACCUGGGGCUCAUGUUCCGGACCCGGAAGGAGGACAGCGUUCUGAUGGAAGCCACCAGCGGCGGGUCCACCAGCUUUCGUCUCCAGGUGACUGGGGCUUCGUGCCACCAGGGCACCUGCUAGGUGGGAGCCCAAGGGAGGGACCCAGGCGCUGGUCUUCCCGGUGCACACUCAGGCCCCUGCUACUCGCCCUUCCUCCUGCACCCACCCCUCUUUGGCUUCUCAGAAGAGGAUGACGGGGAGCAGGAGCCCUUUCUUUCCUCUGGGACGUGGAGAUGGAGUGAGACAGCAUGGGGCCGGGCUGACCCCGGGGCCCAGCACAGCUCAGCCGAGGUGCAUCAUAGACGGCAAUUCCGGUCUCCCUCUAGUCUGAGGGUUUGGCUGGAGCGUGGGCAUUGCAGAGCUGAGGGGGGUGCUGAGCCUUCGGGCAGAAACAGCGGGCCUCACCAGUGAACACUGUGGCUAGCUGCAGGCUGGACAUGGUGGCUCACACCUGUAAUCCCAGCACUUUGGGAGGCUGAGGUGAGUGGAUCGCCUGAGGUCAGGAGUUCCAGCAUGGAGAAACCCCAUCUCUACUAAAAAUACAAAAAAAUUAGCUGGGCGUGGUGGCUCACGCCUGUCAUCCCAGUUACCCAGGAGGCUGAGGCAGGAGAAGCGAUUGAACUAGGGAAGUGGCGGCUGCAGCGAGCUGAGAACGUGCCAUUGCAGUCCAGCCUGGGCAGCAAGACCGAGACCGUCUCAAAAAAGAAAGAA